GACAUAGCUUAUGUAGUAGAACAUUUGCCUAGCAUAAAAAAGGCCCUGUGUUCAAUUCCCAGUACCACAAGGGAAUAAAGAGGGGAAAAAAAACUUCGUUGUUUAUAUACGAAGUCCUGUUUUCAACCUUAUAUUUCAUGCAAAUCUCAGAAUUUUCUUGUUGAAUUUAUUGUAGAGCACUUUAUAUAUGCUUGAAACUAAUUCUUAAAUAUUAGUGUUUUGUAACAUAAUUGAAUAAGCUCUACAGUGGCAGGAUAAUUCCCUGCUAAAUUUUAGGUUUUUCACAUGUUAA